rnacentral:rRNA from 1 species
UACGAAGGGGGCUAGCGUUGUUCGGAUUUACUGGGCGUAAAGCGCACGUAGGCGGAUUGUUAAGUCAGGGGUGAAAUCCUGGAGCUCAACUCCAGAACUGCCUUUGAUACUGGUAGUCUCGAGUCCGGAAGAGGUGAGUGGAAUUCCGAGUGUAGAGGUGAAAUUCGUAGAUAUUCGGAGGAACACCAGUGGCGAAGGCGGCUCACUGGUCCGGUACUGACGCUGAGGUGCGAAAGCGUGGGGAGCAAACAGG